AAGAUACUAGUAAAAACGAACAUUACACUGCCUUGUCAAGACAAAAUUGCGGGUUAAAAUCCCGCGUAUCUUA
rnacentral:tRNA from 1 species